rnacentral:rRNA from 1 species
GACGAACGCUGGCGGCGUGCUUAACACAUGCAAGUCGAACGGAAAGGCCCUGCUUUUGUGGGGUGCUCGAGUGGCGAACGGGUGAGUAACACGUGAGUAACCUGCCCUUGACUUUGGGAUAACUUCAUGAAACUUGGGCUAAUACCGGAUAGGAGCUCCUGCUUCUUGGUGGGGGUUGGAAAGUUUCGGCGGUUGGUGAUGGUCUCGCGGCUGAUCAGCUUGUUGGUGGGGUAGUGGCUUACCAAGGCUUUGCCGGGUAGCCGGGCUGAGAGGGUGACAGGCUCAAUUGGGACUGAGAUACGGCACAGACUCAUACGGGAGGCAGCAGUGGGGAAUAGUGCACAAUGGGCGGAAGCAAAAUGCGGCACCGCCGCGUGCGGGAUAACGGCAUUCGGGUUGUAAACCGAUUUUGUCUGUGACGAAGCGUGAGUGACGGUAAUGGGUAAAGAAGCACCGGCUAACUACGUG